rnacentral:rRNA from 1 species
AUUGAACGCUGGCGGCAGGCCUAACACAUGCGAGUCGAGCGGAUGAAGGGAGCUUGCUCCUGGAUUCAGCGGCGGACGGGUGAGUAAUGCCUAGGAAUCUGCCUGGUAGUGGGGGAUAACGUCCGGAAACGGGCGCUAAUACCGCAUACGUCCUGAGGGAGGAAGUGGGGGAUCUUCGGACCUCACGCUAUCAGAUGAGCCUAGGUCGGAUUAGCUAGUUGGUGGGGUAAAGGCCUACCAAGGCGACGAUCCGUAACUGGUCUGAGAGGAUGAUCAGUCACACUGGAACUGAGACACGGUCCAGACUCCUACGGGAGGCAGCAGUGGGGAAUAUUGGACAAUGGGCGAAAGCCUGAUCCAGCCAUGCCGCGUGUGUGAAGAAGGUCUUCGGAUUGUAAAGCACUUUAAGUUGGGAGGGAGGGCAGUAAGUUAAUACCUUGCUGUUUUGACGUUACCAACAGAAUAAGCACCGGCUAACUUCGUG